rnacentral:tRNA from 1 species
GCGCUCGUAGCUCAGCUGGACAGAGCAGAGGACUUCUAAUCCUCGGGUCGCAGGUUCGAAUCCUGCCGGGCGCG